AGUUGCCUGCGGUGUUGGUGAACUUCGAGUUUAAUUCGAACCGAACACCAAUUCACUUUGGGAGCCUUACAUUGGGCGACGGACAGCAUGCCUUUAUGAGGAAGCUGAAAAUCGCCCUGCAGGCACCCACCUGCCUUAGGCGGGUUCGUGAAAUCUGGAAGAUAACCGCACAUGCGGGCAAUCC
rnacentral:other from 1 species